UUGCUCUCUUUGUUGGUUGUUCUUUCCCGGCUACCAUGUAAGUCUUCAACAUCCCAUUGCCUUCAAAAAUGAAAAUUGUGUCCCUGGUAACAAAUGCAUUAAUUUUUAAUAUGAUUAAUGAUAUUAGAGAAAACUUGUAUAUGGAGUCAAAAUGAUGAAAUUGGUUGGAAGGAGUUAUUGGAAGUUAUUUGCUAUAUAGGCUAUUGUGGAUAAAUUUCAUACCUAGUAUUUAUAGGAUAACAAAAUAAGAAUUAUAUUCUUUCAUGGGUUAAAAUUACCUUAUGCACUUUAAAUAUUUAAAAGUUUACUCAUUUAAUUUCUUCAGAAGUUGAUGUAUGUAAAUUGAUUGAAUUAAUGAGAAAAUUUUGAUUUACUUUACCUCCUAUUUUCGUAUCCAAUAAAUGUGUGGAGGAGUUCAUUGAAAUUGACCCACAUGUUAUUUGACCAAAAAAGUCACCUUGUAUUUUUUUGCAAACUGUUAUAUUAUAAUAAUUAUUUCAUAAUUAUCUUUUGCCUUUAAAAAAAAAUAGUAAUUAUAUCAUAAUAUAAUAGAUAGUCUGAUAACGAGUGUGGUGUUCGGGGACAGGGGAUACAGUUAUAUUGUUCCAUUUGUUUACUAGACCAUCUUUGUUUAAACUUUAUAGUAGUACCUUGGUAUUUAGUAGGAGAACUUUGUGCGAGCAUGACUCUGAUGUUUGUUUGGUCAUUCUUUGCUUAAUUUUGUAGUGGUUUUGUGUACUCGUCCAGCAAUUUUAUGUUUUUUUUUUUGUGUGUGUUGUAUUUCUUCUUCACUUGAGAUCAAAAGACGUGGUUUUCUUGCUUCUAAAUGGCAAGGCUGUAGCCUAUCUUCCGACCUCUGCCUGGUUGCCAUCAACCUUAGAUUGUUGGGUUGGAUCUAAAGUCAAUGUCAACCUCAAGACCCACCUCCGCUUCCCUUUGGUCGCCACCACCCCAUAUGGCUCUGCCACCAAGAAUUCUGCAGUGCCUCCGACAUUUAACUCCGCACAUGACACUGCCACUGAGAAUUCUGUGAUACAUCUAACUCCUUGCAGGAAUGCCUGUUGUGGCAAUUUUUUGGUUAAAAUUGAAAGUACAUCUAACUUUUGUUGUUCACCUAUAUUGUGCACGAUGCCCAUCUUCAAAGUUCUACCAUUAUAUUUGCGAUAUAUUCAAUACGUGUGUAGUAAAAUGGGGUAUGUUAAAAUAAGUCAGUGUGUAAAAUGUGGUAUGCUAAUAAGUUCAUGCUGAGAAAAGGCAAUUAAGUUGCGAUCUGGUGGCAACUAAGGGGGAGUUUACUUUUACUUUUUGUUUUGUUUCGUUUUCUAUUUUUAAUAUUUAAAUAAAAAAUUGUCAGCAUAUUUUAAAUUUUUAAUGUGUUUUAUUUUUAAAGAUUUGUACAUGAAAUACUAAAAUCAACUUUUUCUUGUUUUCUGUACAAAACCUAAAAAUAGAAAACACGUUGAAAACAAUGUGACAAUUUUGUACUUAAAAAAUGGAAACAGAAAAUAAAAUUAGGAAAACAAAAUACAAUUAAACGCCUACUAAACUACUCAUAUUGAAAAGUUUUGGACUUAAUGAUUCAUGUGUGAUGUUAGGUGUAUCAACUUUAUUGCUUGUAAAGUUUGUGCAAAUUAUCCUAUGGUUGAUCCAUAUGAUUUGGACGGAUGAAUUUGAUUUGUAAAUAUAAUUUAUACAUAUGGAUUAACUUGAUCCGUAUGACUCAUACGGAUUAUGUUGAUCCGUAUAAAUCAUACGAAUCAACUUGAUCCAUAUGAAUCACGUAUGAUUCAUAUGGAUCAAGUUGAUCCGUAUGAGUCAUGUAUAUCAACUUGAUCCAUAUAACUAGUACGGAUUAACUUGAGUGGAAGACAUUUUUGUUAAUUCACUUAAAAUGUUAGAUGCAUAAUAAUAAUGUUGGGUACAUUUAGCAUAAGCCGUUUGUGUGCUAUGAUGGGUCAAUUAAUAGAGUGUAUCAAGUUCACUUCUUGCUUCUGGAUAAGGCUCUAUUAGAGUUACGUGAAAUGCUGCAGAUUGCAAAUUUUUAUGCUUUUUUAUAUGCUCUUUGCCCAGCUUUCUUUUAUAGGAUGUGUGACACAAGAAGGUGCACCUGUAGUAUUGUAUUUGAAAAGCACUUUGGCUUUUACUUUUUAUAAAUAAAAAAAAAACAAAAAAAAAAUCUUGACUAGCAUAAUGGACGGGGAUGAUUUUCCCUGGAGAGAGAAAAGUGGCAAGAGAGGAUCCGAAGGCAUUACGAGCAUCCACACUCCAUUUGAAAUCGGACCUCAAUGUAUAGUAAUCUAAUAAUUUCUUUCAUUCAGAUUUCUUCUCACCCACAAGAGCAGUCCUAUGCUUCUCCAAUUUGAAGCAUAAAAACAGGAUAAAUUCCUUCUAUAUCUCUCGGUUUCUCAGGGGUCGUUACUGGUAAAGAAAAAAGGAAAAAUUUCUCAAAUACAACAUUCACUCACCAACACCCCAUCAAUGACAUCUAUAUAGAGAAGAACAAGUUUUUCUCGUUGGAUUUUUCAUGCAAAAGAGGUGUUGUGUUGUCCACCAACUCUCAUCCAACGGCUAUGACCAAAAGGGCCAGAUACCCGUCUGAUCUCUCCUACCAAAAUUGGUUCUCUUGGACUAUUAAGGGCGUUAGCCCAACACAGGGAAACAUAGCAGAUAAAUAUUCUAGCUGUUGGACUUCACAGUGUAUGGUGGGCGCCGAGCCUCCCACUGAAGUAAGUCAAUUGCUUCGUGCACCCAAUAAAUUACUUCCUGCGCCCCCAUAUUCUUAAGUAUCCCCAAAUUAUAACUUCCUUUAUUUUCUCAUUUCUCCUUUGUUGAUGCACUCUUAAGGUGCAAAUGGCGUGGUUUGCGGUGCGAUUUUCAUAUACUUCAAACGAAGUAGGCUUUUUUUUUUUCUGAUUUACAUUUAUUUUCAGAUAACCAUUUCAAAAAUACAUAAAAAAAAAUCAGAAAAACAUUUCCGAAAUUAUGCUUGUUACAUUCUGGAAGUGAAUAAUUUCAAAAUUACACUUCCGGAUAAUUCCGGAAAUGAUUUUGCAGAAGUUAUAGAAUAUAUAAUUAGUUUAAUUACACUUUUUCCUUUCAUAUCUCAGUCGAACACGACAGAAUUAUGAAAGUUAUUUCUUAGGACUCGGCCAAUCAAUACGACAAAAUCAAGAAUAAAUAUUGCAAGUUGAUUCUUUGUUCAUGAUUGAAUAUGUGCAAAUAGAUAAAAUAAAAAAUCGAUGAUAUUCCCAGUUGACAUUGUGUCCACUAAAAGAAACCCAAAUUCUAACUAAAUAUGAAUAGGUUAACUACAAAAUCUGAAUGAUUUGUCCUCUAAAACAAACCAAGUUAAAUGAACCUGAAUAUUUUUUUAGACGUGCGUGAACCUGAAUCUUAAAUUAAUACAAUAUUAUUUUAUAAAACAUAUUUUUUCCAGAUUGAACUCUCAAUUGAGGAAUAAUUCUUUUUCAUCGGAUGGGUUGCACUGUUGUCUAGAUAUUGUAAUGAUAUGUGUGUGUAAUGCGAUAUGUUAUUUAAAAUAUAAAUAAAUUUUCACGGCUAGAUAAUUUAUCAACAAAUAUUCAAUGUGAAAUUUAAUAUAAAAUAAAAAAGAUAAUAUUAAAUGAUUCAACGGUUGAAUUAAUAUUUCAUAAUAUGUUGAAGAACAAUUAUUAAGUACUAACCAAUAAUGUCCUUGAGAAGUGAAAUUAUCGUUCCAAAGCUUUAAGGUGUGACGUCGACGCGAGCUGCGCGAUCAACCAGACAAACCAAGGGAUGGAAAUGGAACUGAACUGAAAGCAUAAGCUUCGCUAUCAAUUAAUGAUUAUAUACACAUAUAUCUAUACAGAGAGAGAUGGGCUAUCAACUUAAUUACAAUGAUGUAAGUUACAUAAACAUUAAUAUCAUUCAAUAACCUUUUCAUUGAAUUAAUAAUUUUAACUCAAAAUAUAUUAUUGGUUUGUAAGUUGUUGUCAUAUAGAUUAUUUUUAAAAAAUCUUAUAUUAAUUUAGAUUUAUUAUACUUCAUCGUUUUUUAAAUGCAAUUUGUAUGUAUAUGAAAUCUCAGUUAAUUAAGCACAAGCUAUGCCAAGUGCCAACUAAGAUACACGUCCUGCGUCCCAUUAUAAUUUGUGUAAGAAAAAAAUUAUUUCAAAAUAAUUUUUAUUUUAAUUUUUUAAUGUAAUAUUAAUUAUUUCUUUAUUUAUAUUCUAUGUAAUAUUAAUGAAAAAAAAUAUAUAAUGAUAAAAGAUUAAUUUUAUAAAAUAAUUAUUUUAUUUAUUUAUUUAUUAUUUUUGUUUGUCUAAAAUAUUUUAAGAUGAUAAUUAUUUUAGGAUUAAAUAACUAUAUGUUAUCUUGCAAUCAUUUUUUUAUAAGAAAACUAACAUUUUUUUUACUGGAAGAAAACUAAUAUUAAUCAUUUAAUCAUUUUACAUGCAACUCGUAUGUUUACUAUGCUCUCUCUCUCCUGUUUCAUCUAGCUAGAAGAUAAGAAAGUUCGCUUUUUCCCCCCUAAAGAUAAGAACGUUCGCUUUGUUUGAAUAUCUUCGAAGAAUAGGAAGUAAAUUAUUAAUAUUAAGAUGUUGUAGUGUCACUUUAAUUAAGAUCUAACGUUCUAGAUAUCUGGGUCCCACUAUACGAAGUGAGGAUUGGUUCAUGCACCUUCUCAUCUUCCUUUUUUCAGUUCAAUUUUUUUGGACAAUUGUUUUCAGUUGAAAUUUAAUUUAUCAUUUGUGCUAGAUAUCAUAGUACUAGCUACUGUUGUGUCAUCAACGUAGAGAACACAAAGAAGAAUGAUUAUAUAAAAUACAGAGAAAAAAAUGGAUUCUGAUUUAUUUAGUUCAUCAAGUUACAUCAUGCGUAUCCAUAUAUUAUAGAUACCAUGAUAAAAAAAAUAAAAAAUAAAAAACAUUGUGUGUAUCUAUUAGAGAUUGAAGACCAUUCCAUUAGAGACUGAAGACGAUGGCAAUUAGAUGCAAAAGUGGAAGUUGGCCUUGAAGAAUUUGGAUGUAGAAGUAGGAGUUCACAAUCUAGGUUAGAGAAGAUAAUUUUUAAAAAAUAAUCUUUUAAAUAAAAUAACGAUAAUAAUGAUUUUUAAUAAUCAAUAUUUUAAAUAUUAGCAUAACAUUUAUGUUUUAAAUGAAAAAAUAAAACAUUUAAAAAUAUAAAUGAUCAAAAUAAAACUUUUAAAAUUUAAUAUAUUCAAAACAAAACAAAAAAUACAAAAAUAUAAUGGACUAAAAGUGUGAUCCAACUUUCUUUUUUUCAAUACAAUUUUGUUUAAAUUGAAAUUGUCAUUAAUUUAAGAAUAAAGUCUGAAUAUUUAAUAAUAGUGAAGUGAAUUUCUUGCAAUAUUCGUAACUUAUACCAGUACCGGAAAUUAAGCUAGGGAGUAGCUACUCCCCCGAAGCUUUUGCAUGGAGGCGUGGGUACGUACCUCACCUGUCAGCUUGCGAAAAUCAGUGUUGAUGAAUCACCUUUCAGCUGCGCACUUCCUAUUGAGUACUUAUACAAUUUAUAUUCUGAGAUCGAAAUGAGUAAUUCUUA
rnacentral:lncRNA from 1 species